rnacentral:rRNA from 1 species
GGCCGCGGGAAUUCGAUUCAGGCCUAACACAUGCAAGUCGAACGGUAACGGGAAGCAGCUUGCUGCUUUGCUGACGAGUGGCGGACGGGUGAGUAAUGUCUGGGAAACUGCCUGAUGGAGGGGGAUAACUACUGGAAACGGUAGCUAAUACCGCAUAACGUCGCAAGACCAAAGAGGGGGACCUUCGGGCCUCUUGCCAUCGGAUGUGCCCAGAUGGGAUUAGCUUGUUGGUGGGGUAACGGCUCACCAAGGCGACGAUCCCUAGCUGGUCUGAGAGGAUGACCAGCCACACUGGAACUGAGACACGGUCCAGACUCCUACGGGAGGCAGCAGUGGGGAAUAUUGCACAAUGGGCGCAAGCCUGAUGCAGCCAUGCCGCGUGUAUGAAGAAGGCCUUCGGGUUGUAAAGUACUUUCAGCGGGGAGGAAGGGAGUAAAGUUAAUACCUUACUCAUCGACGUACCCGCAGAAGAA